GGUCAAGAUGUGUUGACAUGUAUUACCUGAAUUUAUUGCUGAUGUGUAAUAAUAUUUUAACUCUAUAAUAAUACAGCUUUCAU
ensembl:snoRNA